rnacentral:rRNA from 1 species
AUGGCUCAGGAUAAACGCUGGCGGCGUGCUUAACACAUGCAAGUCGAACGGAGUGGUUCUCCCGAAGACCUGAAGAGCUUGCUCAGAUGGAAUUCAUUUGAAUCACUUAGUGGCGGACGGGUGAGUAACGCGUGGGUAACCUGCCUCACACUGGGGGAUAGCAGUUGGAAACGACUGAUAAUACCGCAUAAGCGCACAGUAUCGCAUGAUAAAGUGUGAAAAACUCCGGUGGUGUGAGAUGGACCCGCGUCUGAUUAGCUAGUUGGUGAGGUAACGGCCCACCAAGGCAACGAUCAGUAGCCGGCCUGAGAGGGUGUACGGCCACAUUGGGACUGAGACACGGCCCAAACUCCUACGGGAGGCAGCAGUGGGGAAUAUUGGACAAUGGGGGAAACCCUGAUCCAAGCGACGCCGCGUGAACGAAGAAGUAUCUCGGUAUGUAAAGUUCUAUCAGCAGGGAAGAUAAUGACGGUACCUGACUAAGAAGCACCGGCUAAAUACGUGCCAGCCGCGGC